rnacentral:rRNA from 1 species
AGUCGAACGAUGAAGCCUAGCUUGCUGGGUGGAUUAGUGGCGAACGGGUGAGUAACACGUGAGUAACCUGCCCCCUACUCUGGGAUAACCUCGGGAAAUCGGGGCUAAUACCGGAUAUGACUUCAUGCCGCAUGGUGUGGGGUGGAAAGUUUUUCGGUGGGGGAUGGACUCGCGGCCUAUCAGUUUGUUGGUGAGGUAAUGGCUCACCAAGGCGAUGACGGGUAGCCGGCCUGAGAGGGCGACCGGCCACACUGGGACUGAGACACGGCCCAGACUCCUACGGGAGGCAGCAGUGGGGAAUAUUGCACAAUGGGCGCAAGCCUGAUGCAGCGACGCCGCGUGAGGGAUGACGGCCUUCGGGUUGUAAACCUCUUUCAGUAGGGAAGAAGCGAAAGUGACGGUACCUGCAGAAGAAGCGCCGGCUAACUACGUGCCAGCAGCCGCGGUAAUACGUAGGGCGCAAGCGUUGUCCGGAAUUAUUGGGCGUAAAGAGCUUGUAGGUGGCUUGUCGCGUCUGCCGUGAAAAUCCAGGGCUUAACUCUGGACGUGCGGUGGGUACGGGCAGGCUAGAGUGUGGUAGGGGAGACUGGAAUUCCUGGUGUAGCGGUGAAAUGCGCAGAUAUCAGGAGGAACACCGAUGGCGAAGGCAGGUCUCUGGGCCAUUACUGACGCUGAGAAGCGAAAGCAUGGGGAGCGAACAGGAUUAGAUACCCUGGUAGUCCAUGCCGUAAACGUUGGGCACUAGGUGUGGGGACCAUUCCACGGUUUCCGCGCCGUAGCUAACGCAUUAAGUGCCCCGC